GAGCUUGCUCCCGGAUGUUAGCGGCGGACGGGUGAGUAACACGUGGGUAACCUGCCUGUAAGACUGGGAUAACUCCGGGAAACCGGAGCUAAUACCGGAUAGUUCCUUGAACCGCAUGGUUCAAGGAUGAAAGACGGUUUCGGCUGUCACUUACAGAUGGACCCGCGGCGCAUUAGCUAGUUGGUGAGGUAACGGCUCACCAAGGCGACGAUGCGUAGCCGACCUGAGAGGGUGAUCGGCCACACUGGGACUGAGACACGGCCCAGACUCCUACGGGAGGCAGCAGUAGGGAAUCUUCCGCAAUGGACGAAAGUCUGACGGAGCAACGCCGCGUGAGUGAUGAAGGUUUUCGGAUCGUAAAGCUCUGUUGUUAGGGAAGAACAAGUGCAAGAGUAACUGCUUGCACCUUGACGGUACCUAACCAGAAAGCCACGGCUAACUACGUGCCAGCAGCCGCGGUAAUACGUAGGUGGCAAGCGUUGUCCGGAAUUAUUGGGCGUAAAGGGCUCGCAGGCGGUUUCUUAAGUCUGAUGUGAAAGCCCCCGGCUCAACCGGGGAGGGUCAUUGGAAACUGGGAAACUUGAGUGCAGAAGAGGAGAGUGGAAUUCCACGUGUAGCGGUGAAAUGCGUAGAGAUGUGGAGGAACACCAGUGGCGAGGCGACUCU
rnacentral:rRNA from 1 species